UCCAUUAUUUUUAUGUCCCCUCCCCAAAAGACAAUUUGUAAUUUAUAUGUACAUAUAUUCUGUGAGUGUUACAAGCUUUCAUCAUUUGCGGGGAGGGGGAUGGCUUAGUCCCAAAAAUUGUCAACAUCGCCAUAUAAUUACGUAUAUAAACAGGGAAGCUAAAAAAGGGACUAACGACGCCACUUGUACAUAAAAUAAAUUUGAAUAUGAAGGAUGAAGAGGAAAGUUAUUCUUGAAUUAUUGUUGAUUUUUAUCAGAUAAAAAUACACUUAAAUUAUCAUCAA
rnacentral:lncRNA from 1 species